rnacentral:rRNA from 1 species
AGUGAACGCUGGCGGUAGGCCUAACACAUGCAAGUCGAACGGCAGCACAGUAAGAGCUUGCUCUUACGGGUGGCGAGUGGCGGACGGGUGAGGAAUACAUCGGAAUCUACUUUUUCGUGGGGGAUAACGUAGGGAAACUUACGCUAAUACUGCAUACGACCUACGGGUGAAAGCAGGGGAUCUUCGGACCUUGCGCGAUUGAAUGAGCCGAUGUCGGAUUAGCUAGUUGGCGGGGUAAAGGCCCACCAAGGCGACGAUCCGUAGCUGGUCUGAGAGGAUGAUGCGCCACACCUGGAAUUGAGCACGGGUCAAGGCCCUGGCGGGAGGAGGAGGGGGGAAAUAUGGACCAUGGGGGGAAGCCUUGUCCAGGCAAACCGGGUGGGGUAAAGAGGCCCUUCGGGUUGUAAGGCCUUUUGUUGGGAAAGAAAAGCAGCAGGUUAAUACCCCGCUGUUCUGACGGUACCCAAAGAAUAAGCACCGGCUAACUUCGUG